rnacentral:rRNA from 1 species
GUGUCAGCAGCCGCGGUAAAACGUAGGACGCGAGCGUUAUCCGGAUUUACUGGGCGUAAAGCGCAAGCAGGCGGCCUUGUAAGUCGGAUGUGAAAUCUCCCGGCUCAACUGGGAGGCGUCAUUCGAUACUGCAAGGCUUGAGGGCAGGAGAGGGGAGUGGAAUUCCCGGUGUAGUGGUGAAAUGCGUAGAUAUCGGGAGGAACACCAGUGGCGAAGGCGGCUCCCUGGCCUGUACCUGACGCUAAGAUGCGAAAGCGUGGGGAGCGAACGGGAUUAGAAACCCCGGUAGUCCACGCCGUAAACGAUGCGGACUAGGUGUGGGAGGUAUUGACCCCUUCCGUGCCGUAGCUAACGCGUUAAGUCCGCCGCCUGGGGACUACGGCCGCAAGGCUAAAACUCAAAUGAAUUGGCGGGG